rnacentral:lncRNA from 1 species
GAGGAGCAGCUUAAGGUUACUGUUGCAAAGGGGACUCGAAAUAACUCGCCAGGACUAUACUUUUAUUAAUACCUGCCUUUGAGUGACAUGCUUUGCAUGAAUCCGUUUCAGCCCGUCUGACACUAUACUAACGCACACUGUCAGAGCGGUCUCUCAGGCUUAGGGGCCACUUAAGAUAAUCCCGUAGUGGAAAGAAAGAGGAACGAGCACGCUUUUAGGGAGAUAGUUUAGAGUUGAACUCAGUGCUCCCUACUCUCCCAAAUACAGUUGCUCUGUUUGAAAAUCAGCAUGUGGUCUUAUUUGUCGAGCUUGCUGUGUAGACCACUGAUUUGUCGACUUCCACUCCCUGGAAGUUGUUGCACUUUUUUGUAUCAACUCUGUGUGCUGUAGUAUUAACUUUGUAUUAAAUAUAGGGAAAUGGAACGGAGUAGCUAUUGGAAAACUGGUGGCCGGUAAAUCAUAACUCUCUCUAAGCAGUUGGUUUUUGUUGCCCUUUUGGGAAUGGAGUAGGUUUUAAUAACUUGUAAUUAACGCGUGUCGCGGAAUUUAAGACGCGAUAAUUAAAAAAAAAAAUGAGAUCUUAACAGGAAGCUGCAAUUUUGUUAAAUUUUUGGCGCUUCAAUUUGCUCUACAACUUUCCGCCUUUAACUUUUUGUUCACUAGUACGUCUGCUUUUGAAAGUAACUCAGUAAAGUUCUAUGCACAAAAAAAGGCUUAGUGGUUGAAUAAGUUUUACGUGUGUAAUUCAAAGAUUUCUUAAGAAAUUUAGUAUUUGCCUUUUUCUCAACUUAAAUAUUAAGAUAAAUAGCUACAAAAUAGGUACAAGGUUCAUUGUGAACGAAUGGGUCAUAGUCUUAGUGAUUUUGAAAUGAAAGAAGCAUGUUUACGCAUAAUUCACUUCAUUAUCAUAAGCACCCGUCGCAGGGCAAAAUUGAAAUGUUAAUGAGCAGUGAUAAUAUGUAAACGUGAUUGUAAUUUCGUUUGCUUUCCUUGUCCUAGUGUUUGUUUUAUACAGCAUUAUUG